rnacentral:lncRNA from 1 species
AAUAGUUGUUGGAGAUCUUCAAGGAUUGUAGCUAAUCAUUCUUCUACUAUUUGCCUCGUUUUUGGAAUCCAUUAUUUAAGGAAUUUUGUUAUUGAAGAUGUGAUGAAGAUAGAUUAUGAUAUAUCUCAGUUGAAGUAGGAAAUAACUCUUCAUCCAUGAGAAAAUCAAGGAGAGAAUUUGGCCAUGGGUAGAAGAUCAUCUCCUUUGAGCUUUUCCAUUCCAAGUAUGAUUUCAACACCUUACUUAACAUUAAUUUAGGAAGACAAAGUCGACUUAGGAUCCUCUUCAAGUUGAAUUCGGACUCCUUGAAUACCUUACCACGAAUCCUACUUUAAUUAGGAUAAGAGAAGCUAAAUUAAUAAUGUGAAUAACCUCCC